rnacentral:rRNA from 1 species
UACGUAGGUGGCGAGCGUUAUCCGGAAUUAUUGGGCGUAAAGCGCGCGCAGGCGGUUUCUUAAGUCUGAUGUGAAAGCCCACGGCUCAACCGUGGAGGGUCAUUGGAAACUGGGAGACUUGAGUGCAGAAGAGAAGAGUGGAAUUCCACGUGUAGCGGUGAAAUGCGUAGAGAUGUGGAGGAACACCAGUGGCGAAGGCGACUCUUUGGUCUGUAACUGACGCUGAGGCGCGAAAGCGUGGGGAGGCAAACAGGA